GGGGCUGCAGGUCAGAGGAGAGCAUUUCCUUUCAUCGCUGCCAUCACCACAGUUGUUGUAACCAUCACACACAAAGUUGAUGGAGAUGCACGUCUUGUUACUGCACUGGAACUCAUCGGGAGAACAAGCUUGGAAAAGAAAAAACAAACAGAAAUGAGUUGCUAAUCCUACUGAUCAGCACAUGGCUGUAUGAUCUCUUCAAGUGAUGAAUAAGAUGGAGCUACCAAAUGGAAAUUUGAGGUCUUCAAGCCAACUGCCUCACAAGUGCCUGGAGCAGAGACCUCUGUCUCAGCUGGCUCUCCUGUGAGCCAGAGGAAGCAGAUUCUGUCCCAGUUCCACUCACCCUUUUGCUAUCUUCUCUGACAGCUAAAAUCCACAGGGCAUGCAAGGACAAAGCAAAGUCUGCAGUUUCCAGGCACUUGGGGACUUGCUCCAGCACAAACGGGCGGCAGAAGAGGAAAGCUGCUUACAAUCCCUGCACGCCAAUGCAAGAGCCAACGUGCUCACGUUCCUUGGGACCUCCUCUGCACGGUCUGAAGAAACUAGUAAAAAGCAGUGCUACAAAUUACCUUACGUAGGCAGCUGGAGAGAUGAGGAUGGGGGAGGUAAAGUCCCAGGGACAGCUUGCUUCACAUCUCCUUUCAUAAAUCUGUCAAGGUACCGGGGCAGUCCCAUCACUACAGCAUUUCACUGCCUCCAGAGCAUUUUGAUAGAAAUGUCUUGAAUAAUAAUUAAAUGAGCACCAGGGUAUCUUUUCUUUGACGUGAGCAAUUUGCUUAUAUUCUCUGGUUCUGCUACCUGUUCUAUUAAGAGCGUG